rnacentral:rRNA from 1 species
AUUGAACGCUGGCGGCAUGCUUUACACAUGCAGGUCGAACGGCAGCGCGGGCUUCGGCCUGGCGGCGAGUGGCGAACGGGUGAGUUAUACAUCGGAACGUGCCCAGUAGUGGGGGAUAGCUCGGCGAAAGCCGGAUUAAUACCGCAUACGACCUGAGGGUGAAAGCGGGGGAUCUUCGGACCUCGCGCUAUUGGAGCGGCCGAUGGCAGAUUAGCUAGUUGGUGGGGUAAAGGCCUACCAAGGCGACGAUCUGUAGCUGGUCUGAGAGGACGACCAGCCACACUGGGACUGAGACACGGCCCAGACUCCUACGGGAGGCAGCAGUGGGGAAUUUUGGACAAUGGGCGAAAGCCUGAUCCAGCAAUGCCGCGUGUGUGAUGAAGGCCUUCGGGUUGUAAAGCACUUUUGGCGGGAACGAAAAGGACUGUGCCAAUACCACGGUUCGAUGACGGUACCCGCAGAAUAAGCACCGGCUAACUACGUG